AGAGUUUGAUCAUGGCUCAGAAUCAACGCUGGCGGCGCGCCUAACACAUGCAAGUCGAACGAGAAAGCAGGAGCAAUCUUGUGAGUAAAGUGGCGUACGGGUGAGUAACACGUGGAUCAUCUACCCUCUUGUGGGGGAUAACCCUGGGAAACCGGGGCUAAUACCGCAUAAGUCCGAGAGGAGAAAGCAGCAAUGCGCAGGAGGAGGAGUCCGCGGCCGAUUAGCUAGUUGGUAGGGUAAAAGCCUACCAAGGCUACGAUCGGUAGCCGGCCUGAGAGGGCACACGGCCACACUGGCACUGAAACACGGGCCAGACUCCUACGGGAGGCAGCAGUGGGGAAUCUUGCACAAUGGGGGCAACCCUGAUGCAGCGACGCCGCGUGAGCGAUGAAGCCCUUCGGGGUGUAAAGCUCUUUCGGCAGGGAAGAUUAUGACGGUACCUGCAGAAGCAGCUGCGGCUAACUACGUGCCAGCAGCCGCGGUAAUACGUAGGCAGCAAGCGUUGUUCGGAGUUACUGGGCGUAAAGGGUGUGUAGGCGGUUCUCUAAGUCUGGUGUGAAAUCUCCCGGCUCAACUGGGAGGGUGCGCCGAAAACUGGAGGGCUAGAGUGCGGGAUGGGAGAGUGGAAUUCCUGGUGUAGCGGUGAAAUGCGUAGAUAUCAGGAGGAACACCUGUGGUGUAGACGGCUCUCUGGACCGCAACUGACGCUGAAACACGAAAGCGUGGGUAGCAAACAGGAUUAGAUACCCUGGUAGUCCACGCCCUAAACGAUGCAUAUUUGGUGUGGGCCAUUCAUUUGGUCUGUGCCGGAGCUAACGCGUUAAAUAUGCCGCCUGGGGAGUACGGUCGCAAGGCUGAAACUCAAAGGAAUUGACGG
rnacentral:rRNA from 1 species